CACGGGAGACACACGGCGGGUGCUAACGUCCGUCGUGAAGAGGGAAACAACCCAGACCGCCAGCUAAGGUCCCAAAGUCAUGGUUAAGUGGGAAACGAUGUGGGAAGGCCCAGACAGCCAGGAUGUUGGCUUAGAAGCAGCCAUCAUUUAAAGAAAGCGUAAUAGCUCACUGGUCGAGUCGGCCUGCGCGGAAGAUGUAACGGGGCUAAACCAUGCACCGAAGCUGCGGCAGCGACACUGUGUGUUGUUGGGUAGGGGAGCGUUCUGUAAGCCUGUGAAGGUGUGUCGUGAGGCAUGCUGGAGGUAUCAGAAGUGCGAAUGCUGACAUAAGUAACGAUAAAGCGGGUGAAAAGCCCGCUCGCCGGAAGACCAAGGGUUCCUGUCCAACGUUAAUCGGGGCAGGGUGAGUCGACCCCUAAGGCGAGGCCGAAAGGCGUAGUCGAUGGGAAACGGGUUAAUAUUCCCGUACUUGGUGUUACUGCGAAGGGGGGACGGAGAAGGCUAUGUUGGCCGGGCGACGGUU
rnacentral:rRNA from 1 species